rnacentral:rRNA from 1 species
UGGGGAAUUUUGGACAAUGGGCGAAAGCCUGAUCCAGCCAUGCCGCGUGCAGGAUGAAGGCCUUCGGGUUGUAAACUGCUUUUGUACGGAACGAAAAGCCUCUUUCUAAUAAAGAGAGGUCAUGACGGUACCGUAAGAAUAAGCACCGGCUAACUACGUGCCAGCAGCCGCGGUAAUACGUAGGGUGCAAGCGUUAAUCGGAAUUACUGGGCGUAAAGCGUGCGCAGGCGGUUUUGUAAGACAGAGGUGAAAUCCCCGGGCUCAACCUGGGAACUGCCUUUGUGACUGCAAGGCUGGAGUGCGGCAGAGGGGGAUGGAAUUCCGCGUGUAGCAGUGAAAUGCGUAGAUAUGCGGAGGAACACCGAUGGCGAAGGCAAUCCCCUGGGCCUGCACUGACGCUCAUGCACGAAAGCGUGGGGAGCAAACAGGAUUAGAUACCCUGGUAGUCCACGCCCUAAACGAUGUCAACUGGUUGUUGGGGUCUUCACUGACUCAGUAACGAAGCUAACGCGUGAAGUUGACCGCCUGGGGAGUACGGCCGCAAGGUUGAAACUCAAAUGAAUUGACGGGGUCAUAGCUGUUUCCU